rnacentral:tRNA from 1 species
AGCCCUGUGGUGUAGAACAUAUUGGAUUGCAAAUCCAAAGACGUAGAUUAAUACCUGCCGGGGCUU